rnacentral:rRNA from 1 species
GAUGAACGCUGGCGGCGUGCCUAAUACAUGCAAGUCGAGCGAACAGAUGAGGAGCUUGCUCCUCUGACGUUAGCGGCGGACGGGUGAGUAACACGUGGAUAACCUACCUAUAAGACUGGGAUAACUUCGGGAAACCGGAGCUAAUACCGGAUAAUAUAUUGAACCGCAUGGUUCAAUAGUGAAAGACGGUUUUGCUGUCACUUAUAGAUGGAUCCGCGCCGCAUUAGCUAGUUGGUAAGGUAACGGCUUACCAAGGCAACGAUGCGUAGCCGACCUGAGAGGGUGAUCGGCCACACUGGAACUGAGACGCGGUCCAGACUCCUACGGGAGGCAGCAGUAGGGAAUCUUCCGCAAUGGGCGAAAGCCUGACGGAGCAACGCCGCGUGAGUGAUGAAGGUCUUCGGAUCGUAAAACUCUGUUAUUAGGGAAGAACAAAUGUGUAAGUAAAUAUGCACGUCUUGACGGUACCUAAUCAGAAAGCCACGGCUAACUACGUG